UACAGAGGGUGCGAGCGUUAAUCGGAAUUACUGGGCGUAAAGCGCACGUAGGCGGCUUGGUAUGUCGGGUGUGAAAUCCCCGGGCUCAACCUGGGAACUGCAUCCGAAACUGCCUUGCUCGAGUAUGGGAGAGGGAAGUGGAAUUUCCGGUGUAGCGGUGAAAUGCGUAGAUAUCGGAAGAACAUCAGUGGCGAAGGCGACUCCUGGACCAAUACUGACGCUCAGGUGCGAAAGCGUGGGGAGCAACA
rnacentral:rRNA from 1 species